rnacentral:rRNA from 1 species
CGCCNGGGGAGUCCGGCCGCAAGGUGAAACUCAAAGGAAUUGACGGGACCCGCACAAGCGUGGAUGAUGUGUUUAAUUCGAUGCAACGCGAAAAACCUUACCUACCCUUGACAUGUCAAGAAUUUUGCAGAGAUGUGAAAGUGCUCGAAAGAGAACUUGAACACAGGUGCUGCAUGGCCGUCGUCAGCUCGUGUCGUGAGAUGUUGGGUUAAGUCCCGCAACGAGCGCAACCCUUGUCAUUAGUUGCUACCGCAAGGAGCACUCUAAUGAGACUGCCGGUGACAAACCGGAGGAAGGUGGGGAUGACGUCAGGUCCUCAUGGCCCUUAUGGGUAGGGCUACACACGUCAUACAAUGGCCGGUACAGAGGGUUGCCAACCCGCGAGGGGGAGCCAAUCCCAGAAAACCGGUCGUAGUCCGGAUCGUAGUCUGCAACUCGACUGCGUGAAGUCGGAAUCGCUAGUAAUCGCGGAUCAGCUUGCCGCGGUGAAUACGUUCCCGGGUCUUGUACACACCGCCCGUCACACCAUGGGAGCGGGUUCUGCCAGAAGUAGUUAGCCUAACCGCAAGGAGGGCGAUUACCACGGCAGGGUUCGUGACUGGGGUGAAGUCGUAACAAGGUAGCCGUA